rnacentral:rRNA from 1 species
AACGAACGCUGGCGGCGCGCCUAAUACAUGCAAGUCGAGCGAGAAGACGUAGCAAUACGUUUGUAAAGCGGCGAACGGGUGAGGAAUACAUGGGUAACCUACCCUCGAGUGGGGAAUAACUAGCCGAAAGGUUAGCUAAUACCGCGUACGCUCCUUGGACUUCGGUUCAGGGAGGAAAGCGAUACCGUGGGUAUCGCGCUCUUGGAUGGGCUCAUGUCCUAUCAGCUUGUUGGUGAGGAACGGCUCACCAAGGCUUCGACGGGUAGCUGGUCUGAGAGGAC